rnacentral:rRNA from 1 species
GAUGAACGCUAGCGGGAGGCCUAAUACAUGCAAGUCGAGCGGUAUAGAGACUUCGGUUUCUAGAGAGCGGCGCACGGGUGAGUAACGCGUACAUGACCUACCUUCAAGCCUGGGAUAGCCCUGGGAAACUGGGAUUAAUACCGGAUGUGAUAAUAAGUUUGGAUAUUUAUUAUUAAAGUUACGGCGCUUGGAGAUGGGUGUGCGUCUGAUUAGCUAGUUGGCGAGGUAACGGCUCACCAAGGCGACGAUCAGUAGGGGGCGUGAGAGCGUGACCCCCCACACGGGUACUGAGACACGGACCCGACUCCUACGGGAGGCAGCAGUAAGGAAUAUUGGUCAAUGGGCGAAAGCCUGAACCAGCCAUCCCGCGUGCAGGAUGAAGGUCCUAUGGAUUGUAAACUGCUUUUAUCAGGGAAGAAACGCCUUCAUUCAUGAGGGUCUGACGGUACUGAGGAAUAAGCACCGGCUAACUCCGUGCCAGCAGCCGCGGUAAUGUCGAUA